rnacentral:rRNA from 1 species
GACGAACGCUGGCGGCGUGCCUAACACAUGCAAGUUGAGCGACGAACCAGGGCUUGCCCUGGGGCAAAGCAGCGAACGGGUGAGUAACACGUGGGUAACCUACCCCGAUAACCGGGACAACCCGAGGAAACUCGGGCUAAUACCGGAUGUGCUCACUGGACUUCGGUUCAGUGCGUAAAGGAAGCUUCGGCCUCCGUAUCGGGAGGGGCCCGCGGCCCAUUAGUUAGUUGGGGAGGUAACGGCUCACCAAGACCGCGAUGGGUAGCUGGUCUGAGAGGACGAUCAGCCACACUGGGACUGAGACACGGCCCAGACUCCUACGGGAGGCAGCAGUGGGGAAUCUUGCGCAAUGCGCGGAAGCGUGACGCAGCAACGCCGCGUGGGGGAAGAAGGCCUUCGGGUUGUAAACCCCUUUCAGGAGGGACGAAGGUUCGGCGGUGAAUAGCCGUCCGGACUGACGGUACCUGCACAAGAAGCCCCGGCUAACUACGUGCCAGCCGCCGCAGUAA